rnacentral:rRNA from 1 species
CCGGGCUGCCAUACCGGAGGGGAAACACCCGGUACCAUUCCGAACCCGGAAGUUAAGCCCUCCAGGGCCGAUGGUACUGCACCCGCAAGGGUGUGGGAGAGUAGGUCGCAGCCCGGG